rnacentral:rRNA from 1 species
AUUGAACGCUGGCGGCAGGCCUAACACAUGCAAGUCGAGCGUGGGGCGGACGGGUGAGUAAUGUCUGGGAAACUCCCUGAUGGAGGGGGAUACCUACUGGAAAGGGUAGCUAAUACCGCAUACCAUCAGAUGUGCCCAGAUGGGAUUAGCUAGUGGGUGGGGUAAGGGCUCACCAGGGCGACGAUCCCUAGCUGGUCUGAGGGGAUGACCAGCAACACUGGAACGGGGACACGGUCCAGACUCCUACGGGAGGCAGCAGUGGGGAAUAUUGCACAAGGGGCGCAAGCCGGCUGAGGCAAUGCCGCGUGUGGGAAGAAGGCCUUCGGGUUGUAAAGCACUUUCAGCGGGGAGGCGUUACUCGCAGAAGAAGCACCGGCUAACUCCGUGCCAGCCGCCGCGGUAAUAC